rnacentral:rRNA from 1 species
AUUGAACGCUGGCGGCAUGCUUUACACAUACAAGUCGAACGGUAACAGGCCGCAAGGUGCUGACGAGUGGCGAACGGGUGAGUAAUGCAUCGGAACGUGCCCAGUCGUGGGGGAUAACGCAGCGAAAGCUGCGCUAAUACCGCAUACGAUCUAUGGAUGAAAGCGGGGGACCGUAAGGCCUCGCGCGAUUGGAGCGGCCGAUGUCAGAUUAGGUAGUUGGUGGGGUAAAGGCUCACCAAGCCGACGAUCUGUAGCUGGUCUGAGAGGACGACCAGCCACACUGGGACUGAGACACGGCCCAGACUCCUACGGGAGGCAGCAGUGGGGAAUUUUGGACAAUGGGCGCAAGCCUGAUCCAGCAAUGCCGCGUGCAGGAAGAAGGCCUUCGGGUUGUAAACUGCUUUUGUACGGAACGAAAAGGCUCUGGUUAAUACCUGGGGCUCAUGACGGUACCGUAAGAAUAAGCACCGGCUAACUACGUGCCAGCCGCCGCAGUAAUAC